rnacentral:rRNA from 1 species
GAUUUCUGGCUUGAAACAUUAAGCCGGCCACGGUUUCGUGUGUUAGUGCUUGAUGUUCUGGCCAUCCUUCCAAUUGCUAUUGGUCGCUCUUCAUUGAGUGGUCAGUGGUAUUGGAUCUUUUACUUUGAAAAAAUUAGAGUGUUUCAAGCAGGCUUUAUGCUAUGAAUACAUUAGCAUGGAAUAAUAAUUUAGGACUUCGGUUCUAUUUUGUUGGUUUCUAGGACUGAAGUAAUGAUUGAUAGGGAUAGUUGGGGGUGCUAGUAUUCAGCGGCCAGAGGUGAAAUUCUUGGAUUCGCUGAAGACUAACUUAUGCGAAAGCAUU